rnacentral:rRNA from 1 species
AGCUCAAAUUUGAAAUCUGGUACCUUUGGUGCCCGAGUUGUAAUUUGGAGAGGGCAACUUUGGGACCGUUCCUUGUCUAUGUUCCUUGGAACAGGACGUCAUAGAGGGUGAGAAUCCCGUGUGGCGAGGAGUGCGGUUCUAUGUAAAGUGCCUUCGAAGAGUCGAGUUGUUUGGGAAUGCAGCUCUAAGUGGGUGGUAAAUUCCAUCUAAAGCUAAAUAUUGGCGAGAGACCGAUAGCGAACAAGUACAGUGAUGGAAAGAUGAAAAGAACUUUGAAAAGAGAGUGAAAAAGUACGUGAAAUUGUUGAAAGGGAAGGGCAUUUGAUCAGACAUGGUGUUUUGCGCCCUCUGCUCCUUGUGGGUGGGGGAAUCUCGCAGUUCACUGGGCCAGCAUCAGUUUUGGUGGCAGGAUAAAUCCGUAGGAAUGUAACUUGCUUCGGGAAGUAUUAUAGCCUAUGGGAAUACUGCCAGCUGGGACUGAGGACUGCGACGUAAGUCAAGGAUGCUGGCAUAAUGGUUAU